GCUUGUGUAGUAUAGUGGUUUGAGUGUGGGAUUAUGACUCUGAAGACCAGCGUUCGAUUCUCUGCUCAGCCA